GAAGGGACGGGGAAUUUGCCCGACGGGUCCGGACCCUUUCUCGGGCUUCUAGGGCUGAGGGAGAUGGCGGCGCCUCUUCAGAAGCAUCUAUGAGCUCGAAUGUAAAGGGGGGGGAGAGCCAGCUGGGUGGCCCAAAGCGGCGGAUGGGCUGCCGGGGACUCGGAAGGACAAGCUUUUCUGCAAGGCGCUGAGGAGGCUCAGAUGAAAUAGAGGAGGUGGCGUCGCCCGCUUGAAAAGCGCUGGGAAGCUGCGGAGGUCGAGAAGGAUGGCCGCUUUUCAGGGCACAACCUGGCGGCGUUCGGGAGCUGGAGGCUUUUCCCCACAAAGGAUGCUUAAAUCCCCGUUUCUGCCUCUCUUAGCGCUCUAUGAGAGCCAAGAUACUUUCAAAAUGAUUGAUUAAAUUGCCCGAUCAAUUGCAGGGAACUUUUCAGCUCUACAAAUUUCAUCACUACAAGGCAGACCAACACCUGUUCAAGACUCAGGAGAGAUUUACAAAAUGGCUCACUGAGGACAAAUAUCCAGCCACAAAUGGCUCACUGAGGAUAAAUAUCCAGCCACCAUUGUAAAUAGGCUGAAAGAAUUAUUGUAUGGGUUUAGGUUCAUGAUUAUGAGUGAUGGAGGGGAAAUACAUUUCUCAAUUUGCUUGGCAUAAAGAAAAUCUCCCAUGCAGUGCUGGGGAAGCAGUGCUUGGGUUCAUGAGUAUCAGUUAUGCCUCCCUUGGCACUUUCUUGGCUCCAGUCUUCUGAUGUUGUGGUUUUUUUUAAAUAAAACUACUCAUUAAAUAAAUGACAUGAAUUUUACAUGUGA